rnacentral:snRNA from 1 species
GUGCUCGCUUCGCAGCACAUAUGCUAAAAUUGGAAUGAUACAGAGAAGAUUAGCAUGGCUCCUAAUGGCUCGCCCAUUCAAAAAGAAAAGAAAAAGUUA